GUGGGGAAUCUUCCGCAAUGGACGAAAGUCUGACGGAGCAACGCCGCGUGAGUGAUGAAGGUCUUCGGAUUGUAAAGCUCUGUUAAUCGGGACGAAAGAGCCUAGUGUGAAUAAUGCUAGGAAGUGACGGUACCGGAAUAGAAAGCCACGGCUAACUACGUGCCAGCAGCCGCGGUAAUAUGUAGGUGGCAAGCGUUGUCCGGAAUUAUUGGGCGUAAAGCGCGCGCAGGCGGAUCUGCCAGUCUGUCUUAAAAGUUCGGGGCUUAACCCCGUGAUGGGAUGGAAACUACAGAUCUAGAGUAUCGGAGAGGAAAGUGGAAUUCCUAGUGUAGCGGUGAAAUGCGUAGAUAUUAGGAAGAACACCAGUGGCGAAGGCGACUUUCUGGACGAAAACUGACGCUGAGGCGCGAAAGCCAGGGGAGCGAACGGGAUUAGAUACCCGAGUAGUCC
rnacentral:rRNA from 1 species